UACGAAGGGGGCUAGCGUUGCUCGGAAUCACUGGGCGUAAAGCGCACGUAGGCGGCUUUCUAAGUCAGGGGUGAAAUCCUGGAGCUCAACUCCAGAACUGCCUUUGAUACUGGAGAGCUUGAGUCCGGAAGAGGUGAGUGGAACUCCGAGUGUAGAGGUGAAAUUCGUAGAUAUUCGGAAGAACACCAGUGGCGAAGGCGGCUCACUGGUCCGGUACUGACGCUGAGGUGCGAAAGCGGUGGGGAGCAAACGGGG
rnacentral:rRNA from 1 species